rnacentral:rRNA from 1 species
GACGAACGCUGGCGGCGUGCUUAACACAUGCAAGUCGAACGGAAAGGCCCUGCUUUUGUGGGGUGCUCGAGUGGCGAACGGGUGAGUAACACGUGAGUAACCUGCCCUUGACUUUGGGAUAACUUCAGGAAACUGGGGCUAAUACCGGAUAGGAGCUCCUGCUGCAGGGUGGGGGUUGGAAAGUUUCGGCGGUUGGGGAUGGACUCGCGGCUUAUCAGCUUGUUGGUGGGGUAGUGGCUUACCAAGGCUUUGACGGGUAGCCGGCCUGAGAGGGUGACCGGCCACAUUGGGCCUGAGAUACGGCCCAGACUCCUACGGGAGGCAGCAGUGGGGAAUAUUGCACAAUGGGCGGAAGCCUGAUGCAGCAACGCCGCGUGCGGGAUGACGGCCUUCGGGUUGUAAACCGCUUUCGCCUGUGACGAAGCGUGAGUGACGGUAAUGGGUAAAGAAGCACCGGCUAACUACGUG